GGAGAGACAGUGGCUCAGUAGUAGAGCAUCUGCUUAAGAAGCAGAAGGUCCCAGGUUCAAUCCCUGGCAUCUCCA